rnacentral:rRNA from 1 species
UACGUAGGGGGCAAGCGUUGUCCGGAAUCAUUGGGCGUAAAGCGCGUGUAGGCGGCUCGGUAAGUCUGCUGUGAAAGUCCAGGGCUCAACCCUGGAAUGCCGGUGGAUACUGUCGGGCUAGAGUCCGGAAGGGGCGAGUGGAAUUCCUGGUGUAGCGGUGAAAUGCGCAGAUAUCAGGAGGAACACCGGUGGCGAAGGCGCCACUCUGGGCCGAAACUGACGCUGAGGAGCGAAAGCGUGGGUAGCAAACAGG